CAAAGUCAGGGAUUCCCCCAGUGUAAUAUAAGCCUGGUGGGCCACCAGACUUUACAUGUGCCCCCACCAGGAUAAGCAAUGUUUUUUUAUUUAAGUCCUCUU